rfam:Capsicum annuum cultivar Zunla-1 chromosome 7, whole genome shotgun sequence
CUGCACGUAGCCUCCCGGGCUCAUCUCAGUUUAUUUAUAAUGAAGUUAGAUGCCCCAAAGCUCGUGCUAUACUUAACCGCCGCUAGUGUUGCAGUUUAGCCCCUUUGUACCUUUCUUAUCCAUGGCUAUUUUGUGUCAAAUCAACGGCAAAAUUC